rnacentral:rRNA from 1 species
CCUACGGGAGGCAGCAGUGGGGAAUAUUGCACAAUGGGGGAAACCCUGAUGCAGCGACGCCGCGUGAGUGAAGAAGUAAUUCGUUAUGUAAAGCUCUAUCAGCAGGGAAGAAAAUGACGGUACCUGAGUAAGAAGCCCCGGCUAACUACGUGCCAGCAGCCGCGGUAAUACGUAGGGGGCAAGCGUUAUCCGGAUUUACUGGGUGGAAAGGGAGCGUAGACGGCAGUGCAAGUCUGGAGUGAAAGGCGGGGGCUCAACCCCCGGACUGCUCUGGAAACUGUACGGCUGGAGUGCAGGAGAGGUAAGUGGAAGUCCUAGUGUAGCGGUGAAAUGCGUAGAUAUUAGGAGGAACACCAGUGGCGAAGGCAGCUUACUGGACUGUAACUGACGUUGAGGCUCGAAAGCGUGGGGAGCAAACAGGAUUAGAUACCCUUGUAGUC